rnacentral:lncRNA from 1 species
GAAAUUGCAGGUAAAGGGUUAAUCCUGUUCCAUGAUGGACCUUUCUUUGAAGAUUUCGGUAAGUUUGAGCGGUGGAGACUCCAGCUCUGGUAGCUGAACUACAGCUGUAAGACGCUGCCAAAAAUCCCCGUGCUGGGAGGAUCACUAAUAAAAUGGACACUACACACAAGCUGAAGAUUUUUGUGAUGUUCCUGUCUCUGGCUACUUUCACAGUCAUGGUGAUACUGAAUGCUGGCAACGCCACUGGACUAUUCAAAGGUCUAUUCCAGAGCACCCCAGGAAACAUCUCGGGGAAGUACAAUACUGACUUCACACCAGCUGGCAAAACUUUCCUCAUCUGGAAUGUCAUCUAUGCUUGGCAGCUUGCGUGGCUGCUCUACGCGUUGUCAGGGAUCUGUCGAAGGAAUGAACUUGGAUGUGUUUACCUUGAGCCAGACUUGCUGCCAAUACCUUUUUACGUGACGUGGAUACUAAAUAAUGGCCUGAAUGUUGGAUGGCUCUUUCUGUGGGACCGUGAGUAUCUCCUCCCAGCCCUGGUGUUCCUGGCUGCCCUCACUUUUGCCACGUGUGCUGCUGUCUUCAUUUCACACAGAGCCUUGAAUAUCCAUGUCAUGUGGUUUGCAAAGGCCCACAAAGCUGAACUCUGGCUCAUCCGAAUUCUAGUCCAGAAUGGCCUGGUGCUGUAUGCAACGUGGACUACCAUCGCCACUCUGCUGAAUUUUGCUGUCGUGUUGAUCUACAAGUGGAAUGUGUCUAACGAGAAAGCAACCACUGCCUCUCUGUCCAUCCUUGCUCUGAGUCUAGUAAUAUGGUUUUAUCUAGAAAACUUGUUCCUUGACAAGUACGUCCAUUACAACCUCACAGUCUACCCAGUGAUCAUAACAGCUCUGACUGGCAGUGCAUGCAAGAACUUCUCGCUUUCAUCCCCAACAACCAAUGGCAUUUUUAUAGUUGUGCUACUGGCAAUGACUAGCGUUAUCUUUGCUGUUCGGCUGGGACUCGUCAUAUGGAGACGCCGUAAGCAACUACUAGACCCACCAGCAACCCCAGAUCCAUCAGGCACAGUGGCCUGA